AAGAAGAUUAUAUAAGAAAUAUUUAGAUGUACGUUCGGAAACCCUGGUUGUACUGCGGGUUGUGUACUGCUCGGUCAAACUUCGGGGAUUUGUGACGCUGAGGGAACCUGUCAUUGCAGUGAGAGAUCCAUCAGUUUAAAGAACAUAAAAUCUCUGUUGCCAUCAAGAUGCAGUAUUGGAGAAUCUUUUUGCCAGGGUACAUGCAACUCUAUCGGAAGGAAGACCGGAGUCUGCUCCACUGUAGACGGAGACCUGGAUUGUAAAUGCUCCGACGAAUAUUUGUCUCCGAGUGAAUUUGCUCUCUGCGCCGCGGAGUCAACCUGUAGAAUUCAUUGUCAAGCCGGGGGCAAAGCUACAGGAGAGGUAGGUCAACACAUGAAUAAGUG